GGUCCAGUCAUGACAAGUUGAAUGCUGGGAUCCCAAAGAGAUACACCCUCAUUUGGACAGAGCUUGUGUCUCUAGGGUCCCUGGAUAAGAAGACGCCACAGGUCCAGCUCCCUCUGUGGGGAAGCUGUGGGCCCGUCCAGGCACUGGCCUCUAUCAGCUCCUACUGACAUUGUGAAGGCUAAGAGCAAUGUAUCGCUCCAAUGCCCCUCGCUAUAAUCCGUCCACAGCCCCCUCUCCGACAUCCACUUCCCGCCUGUCAAUCAUCUUCUGGGCGGAGGGAGGGGCGUGGCCAGGCACCGCCUUAGGGACGGAGCUUCUCUCGCACCUUCGUCCCCCUCUUCCCCUCCUCCCCCAUCGGUAUGGAAUUUUCCACUCCGCUUCCCUCCCUCCGCCCUUGCUCUGGAGUGGCUCCCGGCUUGACCAAUCGUCCUCGCUCAAGCCCCGCCCAUGCUGCAAGGGGGCGGGACUCCCUUUUUUUUGUCCCUGCCGCGGUGGGGGAGGGGCGGGGUGCCUCACUCCCCCCUCCCUCCGCGCGCUAAUCGGGAGCUUUGGAAGCUCAGGAGGGUUAAGAGGGACACGCUGCUUUUCCCUCCCCUUAUAAGGAGAAAGACUGCCGGGGCACGUGAUUGGGCCAUUCAAAUGAGCAGGAGGCUUAGCAACAGGCAUCCCAUUGGCUGCGCGCGAGGGCAGAAAACGGUCUGAGAGGGAAGAAAUGGAGGGAAUGGGAGAAGGAGCCCGCGCGGGGGGGGGGGGGGGGAUAUGGGGCGCGUCUCCCUGGCAACAGUGGUGGAUUUGAGCUCGCCAAAAAGAUGGGCCGGGGGGGGGGGGAAUGGGGAUGUGGGGCUCAUUGGCCUCGCUUUGUAUGGUGGAGGUGGGGGCUAGUCCUUUGACUGGCUUCCUUACCUCAGAAUAUUUAUGACAAAUGAAGACUGGCGUGACCCAUUUGUCAAAGUGAUGGAGAAGAGGAAGCAAAGCAGCAGGGUUAAGCAGCACCUGAGAAGAACCCUUAGCUUUCUGUAUAUAAGACAGUGUAAUUUAUUAAAGCAGAAGAAUAUUGGACCUCCACACUACUAAAGUAGACUGGUCAUCAAAGGGGUUUUUUAAAGAGCCUUGAGGGUCUCCUGUGAAACAUGGCUGUGGGUUGGAGAAAGCCUUGUUCCAAGAAGUAAAGGGUUCCAGGAAUGGGCCUACACAUCUUAUUGGUUCAAAACUCACACAAGGAUUCAGUGGCUUAUUUUCAUUUUUUUUUCUUUUAAAAGCAAGCAAGAAAAAACCCCACAGAACAGACCUCCCAAAAGCCUCCUUCCUUUGAAGUUCAAGAGAGACUUCGAAGCUGUCAACAAAAAGUACAAGCUUUGCCUGGUAUGGAGAUGUCAAAAUGCUUUUAUGGCCAGACCACCGUAUGGUGCCCUCCAGCUGGCCUGGUUCUGCCCUGGCAAAGGGCUACUGAGUGCAGGUCUGCCUUUGACGCUGCCAAGGAGGCCCUCAUGACAUCACCAGGGGACAGAAUUGGCCGCCAUGGCAGGAGAUGUCCCAGAAGAAGAGAACAGGAUUCUACCAGUGACCACCAUGAGGGAAGGAUGUUCCGCCCUCACCAGAGCUGUGCCAAAGAAGGAGCCCAGGACUGCUGGAGCCCUCACAAGGUAUGAGUGACUUCCCUGACUAACCCCACCAGGGGAGGGAGGGGGGGCUUAUAAUCUGUCCUUAGUUUCCCUAGGCACUCUCUCCUUUCCGUCUCCUCUGUUGGAGUGCUGGACCUGCCUGCAGUCACCAGGAGGCGCCGUGCUGUGAGGCGCAGAAGCUGUGCCCAGUUGCCCCCAGCUGCCAACUACAAAGGGGGGGCCCAAGCUGCAGCCAAGAAAAGACAGCCAAAUGGGAGUACUGCAUCACAGCCUCCAUCAUCCCCAACUCUCACCACCUCCACCUUCAUGCUCCAUUUCCCAUGACUCCAGACCAAGGGACACCUGCUUCAACACCAUGGGAUCACCCACCACUGACUGAACCUCAGCUUUCACCUCUUCAAGCUCCUGCCCUCCAACCAAAAGGCACAAUCUGAUCUACCAAGGCAGAGGCCCUGCAUGCAGUGAAAUGUCGGGGCUUUGGGAAAUGUUCAUAGCCAUUUCCAAGCCCCGAAGGGGGGAAAAUGUGAUCGAGAUGACCACCCUCCCCCCCCAGGACUUUGUAAAAGAUAGUUCAAAAAUCAAGACUUUAUGUUCUAUAUUCCAUAUAUUUAUAGUAGAAGGUGAUUGAGACUUUUUACUGGAGUUUACUGUGGAUUAUCCUUGCACUCUGAGGCAAGAGAUAACAACUUCAUGAAUUGUAAAAUCAUGCUGCUAAAACUCCACUUUUAUGAAUUUCCAUAUUGGGUUCUCCAGAUGUUAUGAACUUCGUUCUUAUCAAAUAUUUUCAAUUGUUUAUAUCACUCAUGAUUCCCCUUUAUGCAAUGUAACUCACUUUUAUGGAUUCUCCCUUAUUUCCAUGAAAUCUAUCUGUCUGCCUAUAUGUAUUUGUACUCUUUGGGAUCCCCGGAAAAUAUGUAUUUUUCCCAGCAGGGUUUAUAUUCCAACUUUGUUUUAUUUUUCAUUUUAUUUCAUAUAAUUGUCAAGUCAUGAAAUCAAAUAGGAAAUAUUCUGAACUCAACCUGAACCCUAGAACCCAUCCCAGCUCCUAUGACCCAGGCUUCCCCUUCCCAAAAACAAAAGGUGAUUCGCCCCCAAGGCAAACAUUGUCAUAUCUCACCCAAAGGAAAAACCAGGACACCUCAGGAAGGCGCCCUGCAGAGCCUGUAAAUAUGGCUCAUUACCACCCAUCCUUACUUCCACCUCUGACACCCCAAGGCAUAUCUAAAAUCUGUAUACGUGACAGGAACCCUUGAUUGCUGUCAUUAAUCCCUUUAGAAAUCGGUCUAGCAGGAAUUAAUAUGAUAUUUCCUGCCCUGUCACUUCAUUGUUUCAAUAACUCCCGCCUUCUCCUCCCUGAUUGGCUCGAGUGGGGACAAAAAGCAGCUCCCUAUUGGGCCAACAGAGCAAGGCGGGAAACGAAAGCCCGCCUCGUUCAACCCUCUAGCCUAUCCGCGAUCAGAUGGGCGGGGGAGCGGGGCGGGAAAUUCAAGGGGCUGUCAGACUGAAACAUUGUAUAAAUAUGGCUUUAUUUUGAUUAUAUGGUACGCUAGUAGACUGAAUGAUUGCUACUAGUGUCCUUUUCAGCUGAAUCGCUCAAUAAAGACUCCUUGGCGGAUUUUCCUUCAA